rnacentral:lncRNA from 1 species
AGGAACUUAGGCACAGACAUGGUCCCCUGAUGUCCAACCAGAAGAGAUGAAAUUGGUGCUGGGCUGCAGCUGGUGAGACCUGUGGCUAGCUUCUGUCUGUGCCAUCUGCCAUGGCUUUGAUUCACUUGCAUUUGGUUUUACAAGAAGUGUAACUUUCUCUGUCUCUGAUCUGC